rnacentral:rRNA from 1 species
UACGUAGGGUGCGAGCGUUGUCCGGAAUUAUUGGGCGUAAAGAGCUCGUAGGCGGCUUGUCGCGUCGGAUGUGAAAGCCCGGGGCUUAACCCCGGGUCUGCAUUCGAUACGGGCAGGCUAGAGUUCGGUAGGGGAGAUCGGAAUUCCUGGUGUAGCGGUGAGAUGCGCAGAUAUCUGGAGGAACACCGGUGGCGAAGGCGGCAUCCUGGACCAAUUCUGACGCUGAGGAGCGAAAGCCAGGGGAGCAAACGGG